rnacentral:rRNA from 1 species
CCCUGUAGUGGGGGAUAACUAGUCGAAAGACUAGCUAAUACCGCAUACGACCUGAGGGUGAAAGUGGGGGACCGCAAGGCCUCAUGCUAUAGGAGCGGCCGAUGUCUGAUUAGCUAGUUGGUGGGGUAAAGGCCUACCAAGGCGACGAUCAGUAGCUGGUCUGAGAGGACGAUCAGCCACACUGGGACUGAGACACGGCCCAGACUCCUACGGGAGGCAGCAGUGGGGAAUUUUGGACAAUGGGGGCAACCCUGAUCCAGCAAUGCCGCGUGUGUGAAGAAGGCCUUCGGGUUGUAAAGCACUUUUGUCCGGGAAGAAAUCGCACCUGAUAAUACCGGGUGUGGAUGACGGUACCGGAAGAAUAAGGACCGGCUAACUACGUGCCAGCAGCCGCGGUAAUACGUAGGGUCCAAGCGUUAAUCGGAAUUACUGGGCGUAAAGCGUGCGCAGGCGGUUGUGCAAGACCGAUGUGAAAUCCCCGGGCUUAACCUGGGAAUUGCAUUGGUGACUGCACGGCUAGAGUGUGUCAGAGGGGGGUAGAAUUCCACGUGUAGCAGUGAAAUGCGUAGAGAUGUGGAGGAAUACCGAUGGCGAAGGCAGCCCCCUGGGAUAACACUGACGCUCAUGCACGAAA